AUGUCAUUGAAACAAAUCUGUUUUGUCUCUGUUUUCUUUUCGGAUGAUGAGGAUGAGCCAGCCGAUCCUAACAUAAUUUUGGAGGAGCCGGACGACGAAGCCUCAAAAUCAGAUAAAGAUGUCUCCGACGCGACCGGACUUCCACUAGAUUUUUAUAGGGGUCAGGAGGGAAAAGAUAUGCUGUUUUCUAUCAGUCCCAAGCGGAUACUCCCCAGCUUCCACGGUCCGCUUACCGAGGAAGAGAUGCGGGAGGACCCAGGGCCAGAGCAAGUUGGGUUGGGGUAUAGAGCCGUAAGCGCGGUGGGGGUGACAGAGGAUGUGCUCGUACGGUUCAUAGUUGGGUAUGAUAUUCUCGUGGAUUGUUGGGAACGUCCUCUAUAUUAG
rnacentral:rRNA from 1 species